rnacentral:lncRNA from 1 species
CUCGGGGUAGUCUCCUGCGAUAAUAAAAACUUCAUCUUAUGAUAUCACUUGUCGUCCUCCUGAGUCUCGUGUCUAGUGUCUGAUCCACCUGCAUCUAAAGCUCCAUCUUAUAUUGAGCUCCCACUGGCUUCUGAAGCUCCACCUCGUAUUGACCUCCCUACAAAGAGGUAAUGUCCUCUAUACUUUCUUCCCCCUCAUCACAAGUCCAUUGCUGUGCAAGACCUUUAGGAUUCCUCC